rnacentral:rRNA from 1 species
CCUACGGGUGGCUGCAGUGGGGAAUAUUGCACAAUGGGCGCAAGCCUGAUGCAGCCAUGCCGCGUGUGUGAAGAAGGCCUUCGGGUUGUAAAGCACUUUCAGCGGGGAGGAAGGCGGUGAGGUUAAUAACCUCAUCGAUUGACGUUACCCGCAGAAGAAGCACCGGCUAACUCCGUGCCAGCAGCCGCGGUAAUACGGAGGGUGCAAGCGUUAAUCGGAAUUACUGGGCGUAAAGCGCACGCAGGCGGUCUGUCAAGUCGGAUGUGAAAUCCCCGGGCUCAACCUGGGAACUGCAUUCGAAACUGGCAGGCUAGAGUCUUGUAGAGGGGGGUAGAAUUCCAGGUGUAGCGGUGAAAUGCGUGGAGAUCUGGAGGAAUACCGGUGGCGAAGGCGGCCCCCUGGACAAAGACUGACGCUCAGGUGCGAAAGCGUGGGGAGCAAACAGGAUUAGAUACCCUAGUAGUC